rnacentral:rRNA from 1 species
GACGAACGCUGGCGGCGUGCUUAACACAUGCAAGUCGAACGAAGUGGCGAACGGGUGAGUAACGCGUAAUCAACCUGCCCUUCAGAGGGGGACAACAGUUGGAAACGACUGCUAAUACCGCAUACUGAAGGAGGGGAUUGCGUCUGAUUAGCUAGUGGGCGGGGUAAUGGCCCACCAGGGCGAUGAUCAGUAGCCGGGUGGAGAGGAUGAGCGGCCAAAGUGGGACUGAGAAACGGCCCAGAAUCCGACGGGGGGCAGGAGUGGGGAAUCGUCCGCAAUGGAGGAAAGUCUGACGGAGCAACGCCGCGUGAGGGAUGACGGCCUUCGGGUUGUAAAGCUCUGUUAAUCGGGACGCGGUACCGGAAUAGAAAGCCACGGCUAACUACGUGCCAGCAGCCGCGGUAAUAC